CCUUGACAUACUAAGAACUUUCCAGAGAUGGAUUUGGGUGCCUUCGGGAACUUAGAUACAGGUGCUGCAUGGCUGUCGUCAGCUCGUGUCGUGAGAUGUUGGGUUAAGUCCCGNAACGAGCGCAACCCUUUUCCUUAUUUGCCAGCGGGUCAUGCCGGGAACUUUAAGGAUACUGCCAGUGACAAACUGGAGGAAGGCGGGGACGACGUCAAGUCAUCAUGGCCCUUACGGCCAGGGCUACACACGUGCUACAAUGGUCGGUACAAAGGGUUGCUACCUCGCGAGAGGAUGCUAAUCUCAAAAAGCCGAUCGUAGUCCGGAUCGCAGUCUGCAACUCGACUGCGUGAAGUCGGAAUCGCUAGUAAUCGCGGAUCAGAAUGCCGCGGUGAAUACGUUCCCGGGCCUUGUACACACCGCCCGUCACACCAUGGGAGUUUGUUGCACCAGAAGUAGGUAGUCUAACCGCAAGGAGGACGCUUACCACGGUGUGGCCGAUGACUGGGGUGAAGUCGUAACAAGGUAAGCGUAGAUGA
rnacentral:rRNA from 1 species